CAGCGCCGCGGUAAUACGUAGGUGGCAAGCGUUGUCCGGAACUAUUGGGCGUAAAGGGCUCGCAGGCGGUUUCUUAAGUCUGAUGUGAAAGCCCCAGGCUCAACCGGGGAGGGUCAUUGGAAACUGGGAAACUUGAGUGCAGAAGAGGAGAGUGGAAUUCCACGUGUAGCGGUGAAAUGCGUAGAGAUGUGGAGGAACACCAGUGGCGAAGGCGACUCUCUGGUCUGUAACUAACGCUGAGGAGCGAAAGCGUGGGGAGCGAACAGGAUUAGAUACCCGGGUAGUCCCUGUCUCUUAUACA
rnacentral:rRNA from 1 species